UUUUCUUUUUAUUUCUUUUUACUCUGUUGUAGAAUCAGUUUGCAAUAUUUUGAGCUGCCAAUUGGUCUUUGUAACAAUGUGGAACUUGGCCCAUAAAUACUUUGCGAAUUAUGAAACUGCCACAAAAUGUUUCAAGGCAAUUGGAAGUGACUAGGUAUUUUUAGAAAUUAAGUAAGGAAAGAUAAAAGUUGCUGGACCACCAAAAUAGAAUCCAGGGGCAUUUUGAGAACUCAAAAGAGGUUGGUCCCAACAUGAAAAAUAUCCAAGGAUUAUUUGCCACACUUUGAACAUUUUAGUUUUCAUGCUUGACAAACUUGGAUUUUUGACUUUAAAUUUGAAUUUGAAUCCGGACAGUGAUUUGGAUCAAGUGGGGAUUAUCAACAGUAAUGUGAUGAUGUGGCACCAUUAAUAGGGGUUUACUGUAGCUUAAUUAUUCGGACGUCACAAUUCUCCUCUACUACAAGAAAUCUCGUCCCGUGAUUUAAGGCGUGUAAUAAGGGGGAAGCUAUAAGGAUGGACGUCUGAAAGGAUCGACAUCCGGUAGUUAUCUCAAGGAAAAAGAUUGUAGAAGCACCAGGAACGUAUCGAGAGUGCUAUAAGAAGGUAUAACAAGUUUCAACCAGGUAUGCAUCCAGCUGAUGCAUAAGACAGGUGAUGAAGGGGUUCAGAGCAAUGGGAAAAAGUAUUGCGUCUAAUACCAGAAUAGAUCGCGAGGAAGGUGGCUCGUGAUUUACAUACGAAGCCAAGUGCGAGGAAUAACUUAGAAAACUGGGAUGUAAAUGAGAGUCAGGUUUCGAUCCUGUGGAACUGUGGGUUAUGGGCCCACCAUGUGGGUUAAAAGCAAGAAGGCGUUACAUUUUGCACAGUCAUGAUAGCAAGGCAGCUCAGAGGACAACAUGUUAGUUAUGUUGGCAACAAUGUUGGUACCAAGGGCGAGGGACAAAGAGAACCAUUUUCCUGCUCGUUGAACGAGGCGGACCAAUAGGCAAAGUUCUCGUCCGUCGGUGGCUACCGGAAUGUCAUCAACAAUAGUAACAAGGUCUUACUGACAGAGUUUGUACACCAAGGUGUUAACAUAAGCAGCAAGUUAUCACUGCUCAGAUAUAUUAGUUUAUAAGAAAGGUUAAACAAAACAAUGGAAGGGAAAAGUGUAGACUCGAAUUAGUUAUCGGUGUUCUCAAGUGUCUAACAACUUAGAACCCAUGGAAAAUUGGAAUCGGCAAGAAAUAAUGGUUGAUGAAGAACUCAUAAGAGGUUAUGUAUUUCCGUGAUAAUCUCGAGAUACCAGAGGGUAAUACUCGAGGGUAUAGCAGAAUAGAGGUUGGACGGGUGAAAUGAUCUACAGAAGACAAGUACUUCCACUUGUCCGAGAAAUGAAAUCAACUAAGAACAAUCAUGGUUGGAAGCACGGUUGCAAAGGACCAAACAUAGAUAAAAGAUGAACUUAUCACAAGGGGAUUAUUAUUAAUACAAGAAGCUUCCAUGAUAAGUUCCACAUCGUGUCCAUGGGCAUGAACACAAAGUUCAAGGUCGACUCCCACUUCUCUAAUGCACAACUUUUCAUUUACUUCUCGUCUUUGACAAAGUUGUAGAAUUGACAAUUUAUCCAAAGAAACGCCAGUAGAUAUAACCUGCAUAAUGUUCAGGUUCACACAGUUUAGGGAAGCCAUAGAUUCAACCCAUAGGGGCAUCUUAGGAACAUAUACCACAAACUUCACGAGUAGAUAAAAGCCCGGAAGCAGAGUAUGGUUGAUGAGAGCGGGGGAUACAAUUUGCCAAAGGCAUUGUGUAUCCGAGGAAAGGCUCACAAAGUUACUGAAUAUGAAGGACGUUGUCGGAUAAAAUCCACAAAGGAUCUGGUAGUCCACAAGGGAUCUGAUGUGAGCAACGGCACUCAACCAGAAGAAGAAAGAAUGCAAGGAGGUCAGAUUAUAGAAGCAACUGACUAAUUCAGAGUUCAAAAUGCAAAGGAAUUAUGAUUCCCAAGUCAAGGGAUCAGAAGCAAACGCUUUGAUCAAGAAUGGAUAAGUUGAAUAGACUUAGGGCACAACCAAUGGCAAUCUGACUGGCCGAGAACCAACUCAUGUUCAAGAAGACCUUUGAGCCGGAAUGAUAAUUUAUAAGGACCAACUGAUGAUUGUGACUACUCACAAACAUAUCAAAUUGAAAGACUCAAAAUGACAAUGAGAAAGGACGUCAAUGGAUACAGCUAGGCAUACGGAAAUAGCCAGAGUGCAAGCAUGUAAGACCUUCUAGAGUAAUUGGCGACAGAGGUCCUCAAAAGCUCGGAUUGUAUUACAAAGUAUGUUAUGAAGCAUAAGUUUAACUGGAGAUGAAUGGAUACUCGAUAAGAGCGAGUAAUUAUCCAUAGGGGUAUUCAUGCGGCAAGGAACUGCAGGGCAGUAAGCAUAAAGAAUUGUUGGAACAUCAAAGAGUAUUUCAGGACAUCUUGAAAUAACAAGAGCAACUGGGGAUGAAGGUAUGAACGGCAACAUAGGUAGUUACGCAUAAGGAUUUAUCAGUGGUAGGGAUCGCAAUGGCGAAGGGUACGAGGGACUCGGUAAAACAUCGGAGAGUAUCUUCAAAAUCUUCUGGUGAAGCGGGCCAUCAUUUGGAAUGAAGGGGCUCUCCGGGAGAAGUAUUUACGAGAACCUAGAGUUAUAGUUUGCAAAACCAUUUAGCCCGAAUAGAAGAGAGAUCAGAGUCCCAGAGUAUAGACGAGGAAUAAAAGAUCCUAAUACCACCCAAUGGCGACGUGGACCCGUAAGCCACACAGCCAUGUUAGUAAAACAAUUUUUCAAACACUAGACUCAACUUUGGCCAAGGAGUUGGAAAGGGGGGGUCCUACAGGCAGUCGGCUCUGAUACCAACUUGUGACGCCCCCCGAUUCAAUUGUACACUAAUCAUACACGCAAAUGUGUACGAUCAAGAUCAGGGACUCACGGGAAGAUAUCACAACACAACUCUAGACACAAAUAAAAUAAUACAAGCUUUAUAUUACAAGCCAGGGGCUUCGAGGGCUCGAAUACAUAGCUCGAUACACAGGAGUUAGCGGAAUCAACAAUAUCUGAGUACAGACAUAAGUUAAACAAGGAUGCCUUAAGAAGGCUAGCACAAAAGCAACAUGAUCGAAGAGGCAAGGCCUCCUGCCUGGGACCUCCUAACUACUCCUGGUCUUCGGUAGCCUCCAUGUAGUAGUAUCCAUCGACGGUGGCAUCUAGCUCCAAGGAUCCACCAUCUGGUUGCAUCAACCAGAAAGAAGAAAGAAGGGGGAAAAGGGGUAGCAAAGCAACCGUGAGUACUCAUCCAAAGUACUCGCAAGCAUCAGAUCUAUACUAAGUAUGCACUGGUAUCAAAUGGAAGGUUUGUAUCUGUGGACUGAACUGCAGAAUGCCAGAAUAGAGGGGGAGGGCCUAGCCUAUCGAAGACUAGCAUCUUCACGCAGCUCCGAGCAUCUUGCAGCAUGUAGAAGAGUAAAGAAUAGCAGUUUAUAUUUAACAAACAUGUUGUAGCAACAAUGCCCAGAGAUCCUUCCUCGACUCCCUGCGAGAAAGCAAUCCGGAGCCACAUAUCUUAAGUAUCCAUUUCUAGUUGUAUCAGAUCAAGAUAUAAGUCUGAACGUCCAUUACCGUGGACAUGGUAUUCGAAUAAAGAUCUUCCCUGCAGGGGUGCACCACGUUUUCCAACACGCUCGAUCACUCUGGCCGGACACACCUUUCUGGGGUCAAUGCCCGGCCUCGGAAGAUCAACACGUCGCAGCCCGACCUAGGCUCAGCAGAGAGGUCCCCGCCGGUCUACAUCCUAAGCACUCCGGGGUCUGGGCCCAUCGCCCGUUGCACUCCGGAUCGUUGUGUGCAGGGUGGAUACCAGCACCACCCAUGUAGUGGAUGGCACGAUCCGACCGUGCCACAAUGCUAAACUGGACAUCUGACAAAGCUUCGGCUGAUACCACGACGUCGAGGCCCAUAACUAUUCUCACGUGGUGGUUGGUGCGUAAAGGCCAAAGGCCAAUUCAGAACAAAUACCCAAACCAUAGUGUAUUAUUAGCUCGCGGAGACGAGCAGAGACUCACGAUAAUGUGACCCCAUCGCCCCGUCUCAAGGAAAUACGGCAAGGGCAAGCCCAGCCCACUCGAGGGCUGCCAGACUUCCCUGCCGUGCCUCAUAACCAUCUUGCGGGUGCUCUCCGGGCCCGCCCGACUUUCCCAAAGGUGUCAAGUAAAGUCAAAGUAACCGUGUGUCCAGACAUCAAGGGGAAAACCCGAGGAAUCACCCCCGGAGGAUUCCACUCAAUGUAAUCAUCGAGGUGAAUGUAAGAGGGACCACCCUCGAGGUUCACACUUGAGGUGUUGAACGACAGAGCCAUAUCAGGAAUGGUGAAAGAGGAAAUCACCCUCGAUGACCACAACCGAAUAGCUACACUACAGAAUUAUCAUCAGGAGUGUUUUAUGAGGGAUCACCCUCGGCACUCGAUAGUAGCUCUGCAGAGUCGAGCAACAAAAGGGGCUUGAUGUGAUGUGAGGUGUCGGGCUCUGGUCGUCGAUCGCGUCGAUCGAGGCGUCGAUGAUGAAGCAGGGGCGACAAGGACAAGUGGGGGUCACUGAUGGAUCACUAACCAACCUAUAUUAAGCAGUUUAGGAUAAGGAGGUAGGUAACAAUAAGCAGGUACAAAAGCAGGCUAUGCAUCAGAAUAGGAGCAAUCAAAUACAGUAGCAAAAUCUAAUGCAAGCAUGAGAGUAUAGAAUGGGCGAUAUCGGGAUGAUCAAAGUGGGGGCUUGCCUGGUUGCUCAGACAAGAAGGAGGGUCGUCGGUGAUGUAGUCGAUCACAGGGGCAUCAGCAUCGGUCUCGGGGUCUACCGGAGAGAAGAGGGGGAAGAAACAGUAAAUACACACAAACAUAUGCAUAACAAGACAGUAAGCGGGGCAGAGGUGAUCUAACGUAGCGUUAGGCGAUACUGGCGAAGAGGGAAAACAUCCGGGAAAGUUUUCCCGGUUCCGGACGUCUGUUAGACAUAUGAACCGGAGGGGAAAAGUUCAACGUUUGCUAUGCUAGGGAGGUGUGGCGGAUGAACGGAGCGCGUAUCCGGGUUCGUCUUGAAAUUCUGAGCAACUUUCAUGUAGAAAACUUUUUCAUCCGAGCUACGGAUUAUUUUCUAUGCUUUUCAAAGGUUUAUUAAUAUUCUGAAAUUAAUUUUUAAUACAAAAAUAAAUGCUAAAAAGCUAGGCGCACCCAGCACAGUGUACACAAAAGUGUACCCAGUGGCUGACAGGUGGGCCAGGGGGUCCCAGUUGACCAGUCAACGUUUGACUGGUCAACAGGGGAUGGGGCCCCCUGUCAUAGGCUAUGUCUAGUUAAUUAAUUCUCAGUUUUAACUAAUCCAGUGAUUAGGCUAAUUAAUCCCUAGUUAAUUAAGUUGAUUAGCUUUUUAAUUAAUUAUUUAACUAAUUAAUUAUUUGUUUUUUUACUUUUUUUUGUAAGAAAAAGGGGCUGGUGGGGCCCUACUGGCAGUGGCCCAUCUGGCCACUUGAGCGGGCGGUUAACGGAGCGGGCGCGGGCGCUGGGGCGCCAGCCCGCUUGGGCACGCGCCCAGGGGAGAGCGCCAGGCCGCGGGGCGCCGGCAGGGUUGCCGUGGCUGCAGGGCACCGGCNNNNNNNNNNNNNNNNNNNNNNNNNNNNNNNNNNNNNNNNNNNNNNNNNNNNNNNNNNNNNNNNNNNNNNNNNNNNNNNNNNNNNNNNNNNNNNNNNNNNNNNNNNNNNNNNNNNNNNNNNNNNNNNNNNNNNNNNNNNNNNNNNNNNNNNNNNNNNNNNNNNNNNNNNNNNNNNNNNNNNNNNNNNNNNNNNNNNNNNNNNNNNNNNNNNNNNNNNNNNNNNNNNNNNNNNNNNNNNNNNNNNNNNNNNNNNNNNNNNNNNNNNNNNNNNNNNNNNNNNNNNNNNNNNNNNNNNNNNNNNNNNNNNNNNNNNNNNNNNNNNNNNNNNNNNNNNNNNNNNNNNNNAGCGGGGUGUAGCCCGGGCGUGAGGACGGCGGGAACCGGGCACGGCUACGGUGAGCAACGGUGCAGAGGUGCACGGAUCGAGACCGGGAAAAGCAGGAAUCGGACGAGAGGUUCCCCACGAGCUUGAUGGUGAGGUCGAGGGGGCCGGGGACGGCUAGGAGGCGACGAAUCAGAGCGGCGAAGAUAACCUACGGCCAUGGCGGCUAGCGGGGCUACGGGGACGAAGGGAGUAGGGGAGAGGAGGAGGACGUGCAGUGCUCACCGGGGAGGCGCACGAUGGCCCGGUGGGGGGCUUAGUAGCUGCAGUGGGUGCCGGCGUUGAAGAAGGCGAUGGCGAGCCGAGGAAGAAGACGAUCCGGGGCGGAGGCGAAUCAACAGUGGCGGCCGUCGGUGCAGAAGUUCAAGGACGAGCUCGAUGGCGGCGAUUCGGUGCGGCUCCGCUCGAUUUGAUGCUCGGGAUGGACGAAGUUGACGGUGGUUGUCCUCCUCGUCGCCGUCUCAGGGCUUGGGGAGGCCGGUGGCCGCGUCUGUGGAGGCGGCAUGGCGACGGUGUCGCUCGGGCGGGGCGAGGAGAGGAGGUCGCAGCACGGGGGAGAGGAAGGAGAGGCGGCUAGGGUUCAGCGAGGGAGGGAAGAGGGCGAGGGCGUCCUCUUAACCACAUGGAGGGAGCAGGGAUGGCUGCCACGGGACCAGGGGCGCCAUGGGAUGGCCGCCACGAUCCCCCCGCCUCCUGUAGCGAGGUUGGGGAUGAGGUGGAGGUGGGCUGGGCGAAUGUUGAUAGACGGGCCAAAGUGCAUAAGGGCACUAGAGCCCAUUAACCCAUAGUAGUUAGGCCUUUUCUUUUUAUUUAUUUUUACUCUGUUGUAGAAUCAGUUUGCAAUAUUUUGAGCUGCCAAUUGGUCUUUGUAACAAUGUGGAACUUGGCCCAUAAAUACUUUGCGAAUUAUGAAACUGCCACAAAAUGUUUCAAGGCAAUUGGAAUUGACUAGGUAUUUUUUGAAAUUAAAUAAGGAAAGAUAAAAGUUGCUGGACCACCAAAAUAGAAUCCAGGGGCAUUUUGGGAACUCAAAAGAGGUUGGUCCCAACAUGAAAAAUAUCCAAGGAUUAUUUGCC
rnacentral:lncRNA from 1 species